rnacentral:rRNA from 16 species
UCAGGACGAACGCUGGCGGCGUGCCUAAUACAUGCAAGUAGAACGCUGAAGGAGGAGCUUGCUUCUCCGGAUGAGUUGCGAACGGGUGAGUAACGCGUAGGUAACCUGCCUGGUAGCGGGGGAUAACUAUUGGAAACGAUAGCUAAUACCGCAUAAGAGUAGAUGUUGCAUGACAUUUGCUUAAAAGGUGCAAUUGCAUCACUACCAGAUGGACCUGCGUUGUAUUAGCUAGUUGGUGGGGUAACGGCUCACCAAGGCGACGAUACAUAGCCGACCUGAGAGGGUGAUCGGCCACACUGGGACUGAGACACGG